CCCUUAGAUGUUCUGGGCCGCACGCGCGCUACACUGACGAAGUCAGCGAGCAUGUCCUACGCCGACAGGUGCGGGGAAUCUUGUCAAACUUCGUCGUGAUGGGGAUUGAUUUUCGAAAUUCUUGAUCAUAAACGAGGAAUUCCUAGUAAGCGCAAGUCAGCAGCUUGCGUUGAUUACGUCCCUGCCCUUUGUACACACCGCCCGUCGCUACUACCGAUUGAAUGGUUUAGUGAGAUCUUCGGAUUGGCGCCACUGCAGCUCAGCAAUGGGCUUGGUGGAUGCCGAAAAGUUGAUCAAACUUGAUCAUUUAGAGGAAGUAAAAGUCGUAACA
rnacentral:rRNA from 1 species